AACGAACGCUGGCGGCAGGCUUAACACAUGCAAGUCGAACGCACCGCAAGGUGAGUGGCAGACGGGUGAGUAACACGUGGGGAUCUGCCCAAUGGUACGGGAUAGCUCCGGAAACUGGAAUUAAUACCGUAUGAGCCCGCAAGGGGAAAGAUUUAUCGCCAUUGGAUGAACCCGCGUCGGAUUAGCUAGUUGGUGUGGUAAAGGCGCACCAAGGCGACGAUCCGUAGCUGGUCUGAGAGGAUGAGCAGCCACACUGGGGCUGAGACACGGCCCAGACUCCUACGGGAGGCAGCAGUGGGGAAUAUUGGACAAUGGGCGCAAGCCUGAUCCAGCCAUGCCGCGUGAGUGAUGAAGGCCUUAGGGUUGUAAAGCUCUUUCGCCGACGAAGAUAAUGACGGUAGUCGGAGAAGAAGCCCCGGCUAACUUCGUGCCAGCAGCCGCGGUAACAC
rnacentral:rRNA from 1 species